rnacentral:rRNA from 1 species
AGUGAACGCUGGCGGUAGGCCUAACACAUGCAAGUCGAACGGCAGCACAGUAAGAGCUUGCUCUUACGGGUGGCGAGUGGCGGACGGGUGAGGAAUACAUCGGAAUCUACUUUUUCGUGGGGGAUAACGUAGGGAAACUUACGCUAAUACCGCAUACGACCUACGGGUGAAAGCAGGGGAUCUUCGGACCUUGCGCGAUUGAAUGAGCCGAUGUCGGAUUAGCUAGUUGGCGGGGUAAAGGCCCACCAAGGCGACGAUCCGUAGCUGGUCUGAGAGGAUGAUCCCGCACACUGGAUGUGAGACACGGUCCAGACUCCUGCGGGAGGCAGCAGUGGGGAAUAUUAGACAAUGGGGGCGAGCCUGAUCCAGCCAUACCGCGUGGGUGAAGAAGGCGUUCGGGUUGUAAAGCCCUUUUGUUGGGAGAGAAAUGCAGCAGGUUAAUACCCCGCUGUUCUGACGGUACCCAAAGAAUAAGCACCGGCUAACUUCGUG